GGAUGCAAGGGCAACACAGCUGCGGCAGCUGCCGUCCCCACUAACUGCCAGGGUUGAUUCACAGAUCUGGCUGGCUGGGGAGUGUCCUCUUCUACCUUCCCUACUCCAAGUGUAUCCUCCCCAAAGCUCAUGUUCGCUGGAAACAGACAACCAUUAGAGAUAGGAGUGUACCAUUUUUUGGUCAAGAGUGUAUGAUGGCUGGUGUUCCUUUAGACCCUCCAAACAAGCUGAAGCUUCAACUGUAGAAUGGAGGGCAGGUUGACAGAACAGCUACAUCUUCAUCAUCCGUUUGGUCACGUCUCUAC
rnacentral:snRNA from 1 species